rnacentral:rRNA from 1 species
UUUGUUUCUUNCCUUUCAGCUUUCGACGGUAUGGUAUCGGCUCACCGUGGCAGUGACGGUAAACGGGGGAUUAGGUUUCGAUUCGGGAGAGGGAGCUUGAGAAACGGCUACCACAUCUAAGGAAGGCAGCAGGCGCGCAAAUUACCCAAUUCUAACAGCAUAAGAGAGGUAGUGACAAGAAAUAACAGUACAAGGCAGUUAAAAUGCUUUGUAAUUGGAAUGAUAGAAAUUUAAACACUUUUUAAAGUAUCAAUUGGAGGGCAAGUCUGGUGCCAGCAGCCGCGGUAAUUCCAGCUCCAAUAGCGUAUAUUAAAAUUGUUGCAGUUAAAAAGCUGGUAGUUGAAUUUCUGCUAAAAAUAACCGGUUUGCUUUUAUUAAUAAAAGUGGUAUCUUGGUGUGUUUUUAGCAAUAAUGUCCUUUGAAAUGUUUUUUACUUUAUUGUAAGAAGCAAUAUUCAGGAUUUUUACUUUGAGAAAAUUAGAGUGUUUCAAGCAGGCUAACGUUUUGAAUACUGCAGCAUGGAAUAAUAAAAUAGGAUUUUGGUUCUACAUUAUUGGUUUUAAGAACUAAAUUAAUGAUGAUAGGGGCAGUGGGGCAUNUNNNNG